rnacentral:lncRNA from 1 species
CAUUGAAAAUUUCCGAAAUCAUGAGCACUGCACAAAAAUAUUUGGAGUUUUUUUAUUUUCACUCCUCAAUAUACUUAUUCGUGUACAUCGAAUUAUCAGAAUUCAUGACUGGCUCGAAGACCACAAUAGAUGACCACAAUAAACUUGGAAAAUAGAUAUGUGAAUGUUCAAGAAUUCAUUGAGGGUGUUCUUCCACCGAUUAAACCGAUUCCGUUUCGUAAUGACCCGAAUACUGGUUGGGCAGCGUUUCUCAUUCGUUUUAUUUGAUCUUUGUCUCACUUGCAUUUAUCCCUCGGGCAAAAGAGUGAUUCACGAGUCACUUAAAUGCACCUUGGCGACCUCGGUGGCUAAAUGCAUGAAAUACUUGCUUACGUAUGUAGAUAUAUCUAUGGAUAUACAUAAACCGUACGAGUUCCCUUCGCCCCGUUCACGUUACGAAUACGUAUAAAUUUUGCAGGUGGAUGCUGCAUGUGCUCGCUAUGCUGCUUCACAAAAAUAGAUCAAAGCUCUUGGACCGUCCGACAUUGCCGAGCCGCAAUUUCUAACACCGCGUAAGCGUCUCGCGCAGUCCGAAUUUUACUCUCUUUCUUUCUCUUGGGAUCGACCAAAGGGAAUUAUGGUUUGCGGACACGGAUACGUCCACGGGUAAUCUCCCGUCUCUCCCGUAGCCGCAUCACUUCACCAUCCGUACGCCUCUAACACUCGUGUUAAACUGAGAGUAUUUGUGCCAAACUACAAACUCCAACUUGCAAGCUUUUCCACACUGCUAGGACGUUAACUGGAUGCCGACUGCUGAAUUUAUAGAAACAACAACGGCUGACGUAAUCCACUCGCAUCUGCGGAUCGAAUAACCUAGCUAAAACUUGACUCCGAGUUAUUCAACUGAGAUUUUUCGAAAAUCAACGAUCUAAAAUAAAAAUUGACGUUGAGAUUCGCCCUGAUUAUAUUAGCUCAAAAUUCAUAUACCCACGUAUACGCCAGUACCCGAGGAUACCAUCGUGAAGAACAGGCCAGGCAGUACAAUUAAGGCCUUACCAGAUGGUCUGAUGAGGAUGUGAUGAUUUCGGGCGUGACAUUUAGAUUCAGGGCGGCUCGUAAGUACCUUUGGAUGGCAAUGAGGCAGCCUGACAACGUUCUCUAAUAGUUUUGAAUAAUAUUUUCUAGGCGUGGGAGCUAGUUUAUUGCACUGUAAACAAGAAAAUGAUAAGAUGAUGGCGCUAUAAACGCUACGGAUAGGUACGUCGAUAAAUCAAAAUGCUGUUAAGAGUUUAGAAUCGUGCUUUGUGAAAUGUAGAUUUCUUGAAGAAAUAAAGAAUUUAUGAAAAAUAA